CCCUUAGAUGUUCUGGGCCGCACGCGCGCUACACUGAUGAAUUCAACGAGCUCCUAACCUAGGCCGACGGGUCCGGGUAAUCUUUGAAAUUUCAUCGUGAUGGGGAUAGAUUAUUGCAAUUAUUAAUCUUCAACGAGGAAUUCCUAGUAAGCGCGAGUCAUCAGCUCGCGUUGAUUACGUCCCUGCCCUUUGUACACACCGCCCGUCGCUCCUACCGAUUGAAUGGUCCGGUGAAAUGUUCGGACCGCGACAAGGCGGACGGUUCGCUGUCAGCUUUGCUGCGGGAAGUUCAUUAAACCUUAUCAUUUAGAGGAAGGAGAAGUCGUAACA
rnacentral:rRNA from 1 species